UUUUAUUUUAGCAUCACCAGUGUCAUGUGAUAAAUUGAAUAAUAUCUCUUCAUAUAAUACAAACCAAAGACCAAGUAAAUCCCAUAAAGAUGACAACUUAAAUAAACGUGUAAGAAGGCAUCUCAAUUUUGAAGACAAAUCAUCUUAUGAUAAAUCUCUUAACCUGCAAACUAUAGAUAAACCAUCAUCAUCAUCAUCUCUAAGACCUUUAAAUUGUAAUUCUUCUACUCCACAUAUUCAAGAAUCGCAUGGUAAAUACAGUAUCCCAAGAAGUAGGGCUUAUGAAGACAAUUAUAUUAUUCAUACACCAUCAUCACCUUUUAAAGUUACUAACUAUGAUGUUUCUCGCUCGCCUAUAGAAGAAUUUCAGAGUAAAUACCCAAGAAGUAGGGCUUAUGAUGAAGAUCAUUACAUUAUUCAUACACCAUCAUCA